rnacentral:rRNA from 1 species
AUUGAACGCUGGCGGCAUGCCUUACACAUGCAAGUCGAACGGCAGCACGGGUGCUUGCCCCUGGUGGCGAGUGGCGAACGGGUGAGUAAUACAUCGGAACAUGUCCUGUAGUGGGGGAUAGCCCGGCGAAAGCCGGCUUAAUACCGCAUACGAUCUACGGAUGAAAGCGGGGGACCUUCUGGCCUCGCGCUAUAGGGUUGGCCGAUGGCUGAUUAGCUAGUUGGUGGGGUAAAGGCCUACCAAGGCGACGAUCAGUAGCUGGUCUGAGAGGACGACCAGCCACACUGGGACUGAGACACGGCCCAGACUCCUACGGGAGGCAGCAGUGGGGAAUUUUGGACAAUGGGCGAAAGCCUGAUCCAGCAAUGCCGCGUGUGUGAAGAAGGCCUUCGGGUUGUAAAGCACUUUUGUCCGGAAAGAAAUCCUUGGCUCUAAUACAGUCGGGGGAUGACGGUACCGGAAGAAUAAGCACCGGCUAACUACGUG